rnacentral:rRNA from 1 species
GGUACUCGAGUGGCGAACGGGUGAGUAACACGUGAGUAACCUGCCCUUGACUUCGGGAUAACUUCAGGAAACUGGGGCUAAUACCGGAUAGGAAUCCCUGCUGCAUGGUGGGGGUUGGAAAGCUUCGGCGGUUUUGGAUGGACUCGCGGCUUAUCAGCUUGUUGGUGGGGUAGUGGCUUACCAAGGCUUUGACGGGUAGCCGGCCUGAGAGGGCGACCGGCCACAUUGGGACUGAGAUACGGCCCAG